UGCUUCAUAGCUCAGUUUUUUAGAGCAUCGCACCGAAAUCGCGAGGUCACGGGUUCAAAUCCCGUUUAAGUCC
rnacentral:tRNA from 1 species